rnacentral:rRNA from 1 species
GCAAGUCGAACGGGCUAGUGCUUCGCACUAGUCUCUUUCUGGGGUUGUUACUCUAAGGCUACCUGCUAAAGUUAUUGCUUUAAAGCAGGGGUUUUAGGAGACUUUCUCCGAAAGGGGCCAGUGCGGAGCACUGGCCAGUGGCGAACGGGUGAGUAACACGUGGGUAAUCUACCCUCGAGUGGGGAAUAAGCUUCCGAAAGGGGGUCUAAUGCCGCAUAACGUUUCAUAACGAUGGUUAUGAAACCAAAGCCCAAAAGGCGCUCGAGGAGGAGCCUGCGUCCUAUCAGCUUGUUGGGCAGGGUAAUGGCCUACCAAGGCUAUGACGGGUAGCCGGCCUGAGAGGGUGUCCGGCCACACUGGAACUGAGACACGGUCCAGACUCCUACGGGAGGCAGCAGUGGGGAAUUUUGCGCAAUGGGGGAAACCCUGACGCAGCGACGCCGCGUGGAGGAUGACGGCCUUCGGGUUGUAAACUCCUGUCAGAAGGGACGAAAUCCCGCAAGGGACUGACGGUACCUUCAGAGGAAGCCCCGGCUAACUACGUG